UGAAGGUCCCGGAUGUGCCGUUCACCGAGAGCUCCGCUGCGGUCGUAUCCGUUUCAGAGGCGUUGCCUCUAGUUGAGUCUUUCGCCAAAUCAGAUGCUGAGUCACUGACUGACUUACUGACUAACCAUUCAACGCUGAUCUCAAACGCAAUCAUUGUGUAAAGCUGGUUCAAGCCGCAGUUGUAUAACCAAAAGGAAACAAAACUGAAACCUAGUAUAAGACUGAACUGUGUAUAAAACCCAAGGGAGCUUUUAUUUUGAAAGAAAGGAAGUGGUUAAUGCAGGAACUUCACCAGUCACGGACUUCCCUCGUGUUUACAUUCGAAGCUCAGCUGCACGCACCGGAGUUCAGGUGCACAAAGGGAGGAGAGACUGACCCUGAUGAUGACCAUAUUGAACUGGAUGACAGCAGCAGCAGCAGGAACCUCCCAGUUCAACCUACUUUUGCUGUACUUAAAGGUUCUUAAGACAUUUCUCAAACAAGAGCUGCUGGCCCUGCACAACAGAUCCUGAAGACCUUCCCUCGCACUUAGCAUGGUCGGCGUAUUCAGCUUAUACAUUCUCACCGUGAAAUUGAGAACAAGAACAACAAUAUCCAUACUCUUAUUAAGAAUAUAGAAUGUUGUUGUUAUUGUUCUCACUUACACUGUGAUAAUUUGAGUGGUGCUUAUUCUGCUUAAGACUGAUUACUAUACAGAACACCAAGAUGUUUACUGUACAGAGCUGAGCACUAACUAUUGAAUGAGAGUGUAGAAUAUUGUUGUUCACUGUGAGAAUUUAUGGCGAUGCUUAUUAGGGUUGCAAAAUUCCUUAAAUUU